GAUAAAAAUGUAUACUAGAAUAGAAUAGCGCGAAGUUAUUUCCCAAUAGCAUUAUUCAUAUUGAAAAACAUGGCGCCGGUUUACUCGCGGCUACUUCUGUUCAAUUCAAACUGAAAAAUGCAGAAACAAAUCAUUAAUUUCAAAUAUUCACAUCCUCACGUACGGCUAUGGUCAACGUUCACGGGAACACGGAAGUAUUCAGCGGAUUGUGGGAACCUGUCGCGAACGGAACGUGAAACGUUGGUCAACACACGGCUGCUAAACAUCCGAAAACAGACAGCAAUGGAUUUUCAUCGUGAAACUUUAUUUGCGCGGUCCGUAUAAAAACGAAUUCGUUGGACCAAGACAAUCAACAACAGCUGUUAACAGGGAAUGCUUUUCCUAAGUUUCGUACGUUAAAGAUCGUCCUACAAAGUUGACAACGUAUUCAACAUGUCCCUUCAGCACCUGCCAGCUACAACGCCAGUUCAUUCGAUCGAAAAAAAUCGACCCUCAUCGGAUGUAAUCAAGUUGUUUUGGCAUGCGAAUUUUAUGUUGACAGUCGAGCGGAAGUCUAUAGCUUCAAUAAACUGGCCUACUCUUACUAUCUGCUGCUGGUAAACACAUCCCGGUGGAACAUAGUCAAGAACCGAAUCAACCUCAGCCGGAACAUCACAAGCAUCAACUCCCCGGAAAACGAAAGCUCGCAGAAAAUAUACCUCAAGAUGCAGGCGCUAGUGAAGUUCGACACUUUCAUUGCGACUCAUGUGAUAGUACCAAAUUAUUUCUAGCAUUUCUGUUUUCUUAAAACUGCACGACUGAACUGAUAUAUUGAAAAUA